rnacentral:rRNA from 1 species
CCUACGGGAGGCAGCAGUGAGGAAUAUUGGUCAAUGGCCGAGAGCCUGAACCAGCCAAGUCGCGUGAGGGAAGACGGCCCUACGGGUUGUAAACCUCUUUUGUCGGGGAGCAAAGCGAACCACGUGUGGUUCAUCGAGAGUACCCGAAGAAAAAGCAUCGGCUAACUCCGUGCCAGCAGCCGCGGUAAUACGGAGGAUGCGAGCGUUAUCCGGAUUUAUUGGGUUUAAGGGGUGCGCAGGCGGAGGGGCAAGUCAGCGGUAAAAUUGCGGGGCUCAACCCCGUACUGCCGUUGAAACUGCAUCCCUAGAGUGCGCGAGAAGUAUGCGGAAUGCGUGGUGUAGCGGUGAAAUGCAUAGAUAUCACGCAGAACUCCGAUUGCGAAGGCAGCAUACCGGCGCGCAACUGACGCUCAUGCACGAAAGCGUGGGUAUCGAACAGGAUUAGAUACCCUUGUAGUC